UACAAUGGAGACAAGUGUUAUUCAUCUUUGAUUAGGUUUAAAAGGGUUACUAGACGGUUUUUUAACUAGAGUUUUAUAGGAGAAGUAUAAUAUAUGUACUUAUGGGUGGAGUGAUAGAAUCUUUUGAUACCUAAUGGACUGGUAAAUGUGAAGACAAAACUCUUUAACAACUGACGUUGAGUGACGAAGGCUUGGUUAACAAAUGAGG
rnacentral:rRNA from 1 species